rnacentral:misc_RNA from 1 species
GUCUACAAAGAUAUCGAGGCUGUGAUGGCGGCGCAGACGGAGUUGGUCGACGUGCUUGGCCGGUUUGAUCCAAAGCUGGUGAAGAUGUGCCCGGCCGGCGAACGCCGGGAGCACUGAGCGAUCGCGUUAUGCACCUGAGCUUGUCGAACUGCACUAUUCGAUCACUGCGGUCGUCGGAUGCCACGUCAAUGGCGAGGCACCUCGAUAACCCGAAUGUCUCGCGCUACAUGAGCGGAGAACCGCACCCAUACAC